UAGCCUUGCGGCCGUACUCCCCAGGCGGGGCACUUAAUGCGUUAGCUGCGGCACGGGAGGAGUGGAUACCCCCCACACCUAGUGCCCAUCGUUUACAGCGUGGACUACCAGGGUAUCUAAUCCUGUUUGCUCCCCACGCUUUCGCGUCUCAGCGUCAGUAUCGGUCCAGGAGGCCGCUUUCGCCACCGGUGUUCCUCCCAAUAUCUACGAAUUUCACCUCUACACUGGGAAUUCCGCCUCCCUCUCCCGUACUCAAGCCAGGCAGUUUCAGAUGCACUUCCCCGGUUAAGCCGAGGGCUUUCACAUCUGACUUACCAAGCCGCCUACACGCGCUUUACGCCCAGUAAUUCCGAACAACGCUUGCACCCUCCGUAUUACCGCGGCUGCUGGCACGGAGUUAGCCGGUGCUUCUUCCUACGGUACCGUCAGACUCCGCGGAUUAUCCCCGCGGAGCGUUCGUCCCGUCCGAAAGGGCUUUACGACCCGAAGGCCUUCUUCACCCACGCGGCGUUGCUGCGUCAGGGUUUCCCCCAUUGCGCAAUAUUCCUCA
rnacentral:rRNA from 1 species